GAAAAGAAGGAAGAUAGCCAAGAUUUCCAUGCAUUUCUGUGUUGUCCUGUCUAGUGGUCCUGUUCCUGAGCCUUUUUCAAGAAUCAGUCACUUCACUAUUGGCCAGCACCUUCUGUAGUCACUCACACCACUGCAAAGCUAGAUGCUAACAGCAUGUCCACCGCCUAGGGUAAUAGACAGCAGACGAAUGAGGUGAUGGUGACAGAUGGAAUCCUUGUUCUCAUCCUCAAUACAUGAAUAAUGCCACUAAUAUCUUCAUGGAUGGGGCCUCUGUUUCUGACUGACUCAGUAGUGGGACCACAAUGGACAGAUUUCCUGCUGCUAAGACAAGAGAAAAGAGAAGAAAACUGAUGAGGGAUGGGAGAGAGAAGCACAAAACGUCUGAUUACUAGUGACAGUGAAUCUCACAAAGUGCAGAUGUUUGGUAUGGAAAACUUAUCCAAAUGUAUUCAAAUCUUGUUGGGCUGUGAGGGUUUGUCUAGUCCAUACCAGUGGGGUGUAAAUUCUAGUUCGCACCAGCAUGAUGCGCACUAACUGGCCUAUGUUGAGCCUCAUAGCGUGUUAACGUUAUGGCAUGUUAAUACCAGUGGGCAUUAACAUAGUACUGUUUGAAACAGAACUACAUUAAAGUGCACUAGGGAACUUUUAGUCCACACCAGCAUGGUCCUCAUGGGCCAAUUAAUGUGUGAUGUCCUGCUGCACAUUCGAAUUCACACCCCUCUAGUGUGGAUUAACACACUGUGUAAACAAGCCCUAAAUCUCCCAACUACAGACUCUCUCGUGAGAACUCGAUUACUUUCAGGUUCUCAGUGGAUCAGAAAUAAGAUAAGAAUAACCUCUUCCCAGAUACUUUUCUGCCUCUGCAACUAGUAUCAGACAAAACCAGAAAGUGCAGGCACGUCAGAAAUUGAUAGAAGGGAUGGAGAGAAGGGAAAUUAGCCACUCCAGACGUACUCUGUCUCAAAUAUUAAAAAAAAAAGGUUCCAUUCAAAUUUGUUUCAAGUAUGGGUGAUUAUUUCAAUCAGCCAUAUUUCAUCUGACUAUUGUAGUCACCAGAAGACAUGCUAACUCAUUAUGUACAAAUCUCUUCAUGUCUUACAUUUUAAAGAGACUAAGGCUUCAUCUACACUGCACUUUAAACUUUUGGUGUUAAGGGGAGUGUAAAAAAACCACACCCCAAAUGACAAAAGUUUUACCGACGAAA